rnacentral:rRNA from 1 species
UACAGAGGAUGCAAGCGUUAUCCGGAAUGAUUGGGCGUAAAGCGUCUGUAGGUGGCUUUUUAAGUCCGCCGUCAAAUCCCAGGGCUCAACCCUGGACAGGCGGUGGAAACUACCAAGCUGGAGUACGGUAGGGGCAGAGGGAAUUUCCGGUGGAGCGGUGAAAUGCGUAGAGAUCGGAAAGAACACCUGAGGCGAAGGCGGGUUGCUGGGCCGACACUGACGCUGAGGCGCGAAAGCCAGGGGAGCAAACGGG